AAAUGUAGAGCUCUAAGUCAUUG
rnacentral:piRNA from 1 species